GUGCUCAUUUCAGCAGCACAGAAACUAAAACUGGAACAAAACAGAGAAGAGUAGCACGGCCUCUGUGCAAGGAUAACAUGCAAGUUCGUGAAAUAUUUCAUUAAAAA
ensembl:snRNA U6 U6 spliceosomal RNA